AGGUAUGUGAGGACCUGUUGAGACCUAUUUGCUUGGACCAGUUUGUAAACCCACUGGGGGCUUUCUUGUGUGGCUCAAAGGGCAUGGCAGUGAGGAAGGCAGGAUGAUCAUUAUCGCAUUAUCGGAGGGGAUAAAAGUAGGAAGGGAACCUCUGCUCCACUGUAUGACGGAUGAGAGAGGCUAAGUUGCAGUUGUUGAACCAAAACCAGAGAAAGGAUGUCCAGGCUCUCCUUGAUGAUUUUUACCUUGGUCAUAAUGACCACUAUUUUGUGCAACCACUCAGUAUAUUCCCGAAAAAGACUUUUUAAGAGUGGACCUUUUAAAUGCAUAUUGCACAGUGGCAACUUCCAUGGCAUACACAGACAUUUCCUCCCCAGGGGUGGCACACAGUGUCGCUGCUGGAAGAAUUAUGAUGGUGAAAUCCUGGGACACUGUGAUAGAAUUCUCUACAGGGUUUCCACCCCUGUUUAAACUCCCAUAAUUGCAUUUCCGAGGGUUUUGUGGCAAAAUAUUCUUUGUCUGUAUUUCUUAACAUUCUGGCUACAUGCAGUAUAAUGUUCAACUGAACCCAAAUAUGUGAAUAUGAUGUCUAACACUGAUGGAAAGGACAUCUAUAUCUAGUUAUUGUAUUUUUCAUUCUUUUUUUCUUUGUAUUGACCCCUGAUUGUAAAGCUUUUUUAGCUUUGAAUAUAUUGUACAAUGGUAAUCCUAUGUACUUUGUUGCAGUUGCAUAAUGAAACCAAA